GGGUGGUAAACUCCAUCUAAGGCUGAAUACGACCACGAGACCGAUAACGAACAAGUACCAUGAGGGAAAGUUGAAAAGAACUUUGAAGAGAGAGUUCAAGAGUACAUGAAACCGUUCAGCGGUGAACCUAAGAAACCCAAAAGAUCGGACGGGGAGACUCAUCAUCAGCGGAGUUAGCUUUGCGUCGGUGGGCGAUGUCCCGCGAGUGAGCUCGCGGGUACGCUACCGUGUGCGCACGUCCGACGUCGUCAUCGUGCACUUCUCCCCUAGUAGGAUGUGGCGACUCGCUUGGUGUCGGUCUAUGGCUCGAGUUCGGUGUCUGUCGCGUCGCUGGUAAAACAGCACGCGGCAAACCCUCGGUCGCCCGGCCAGCUGCCCGGCGGUACUCGCAAGGUAUCAGGCCGCGAAGUACUUUUCGCGUUAAGCCCGUUGCAAGCGCGCGCCACGGCACCUGGAGGUACGAACUUAGCGCCGUCCCUGGUCCUGGUCCGCUGUUGGCAGAACGGUGACCCUUUGACAGGCCUUAACCGGGGGUGGGCGGUGCCUCGCGCGCCGCUCCCCUCGAUACCGGUCGGCGACGCUACUGCUUUGGGUACUCU
rnacentral:rRNA from 1 species